rnacentral:rRNA from 1 species
ACGGGAGGCAGCAGUGGGGAAUAUUGGGCAAUGGGGGAAACCCUGACCCAGCAACGCCGCGUGAAGGAAGAAGGCUUUCGGGUUGUAAACUUCUUUUAACAGGGAAGAUAAUGACGGUACCUGAUGAAUAAGCCACGGCUAACUACGUGCCAGCAGCCGCGGUAAUACGUAGGUGGCAAGCGUUAUCCGGAUUUACUGGGUGUAAAGGGCGCGUAGGCGGGAGUGCAAGUCAGAUGUGAAAUCCAUGGGCUUAACCCAUGAACUGCAUUUGAAACUGUGCUUCUUGAGUGUCGGAGAGGUAGAUGGAAUUCCUAGUGUAGCGGUGAAAUGCGUAGAUAUUAGGAAGAACACCAGUGGCGAAGGCGAUCUACUGGACGAUAACUGACGCUGAGGCGCGAAAGCGUGGGGAGCAAACAGGAUUAGAUACCCUGGUA